rnacentral:tRNA from 1 species
GGGGAUGUAGCUCAGUGAUAAGAGCACUUGUCUAGCAUGCAAGAGGUCCUGGGUUCAAUCCUA